UUAUUAAUCCCAAUUCCCCUAGGCCCACCACCUAAUUCCCCUUAAACCCGGCCCAAAUCCUUCCUUUCCCUUUACGAAGAGGCCCAGCAUCACAAUCCAACGAUGCUUACACAGCGUAAAAGUGAAAUCAAAUGGCAACGAUGCGUGAAUAGCCAAUGAACUCCUAUACGCGCUCCAAUCAACCUCACGCGAAGGACAGUGCACGAAAGCAUCAGCAAGGGCUCCAAGCGAUUCCCUUUUCCGUCUACACGGAAUGGCAGCCAAGGACAGCUGUUCUUCGUCGUCUUCUCUCUCUCAUCCAGUCUGAUCCAACGCGACAAAGCUACUGCUGUAGCAUACCUGCGUCUCCGUCCUUGGCAGCUCAAGAUUGAUCCACGUAGAGUCUCUAGGACGGAAGAUUGAUCGAGGGCGUCCAUUCGUCCUUUCCCCUUUCAGAAUAGUUUGAAGGCUCAGAAAAAGGGUGUCUCCCCUUAAUUGUGAAAGUUUUAAUGGUUCAAAUUUUGAAUGGACCCACUAUUUUUUGGAAUUUUCCUCAUCUUCCCACCCCAAAAAAUUCUACCUAAUUUCACCUAUAUAAACCGAUUUUCUUCUCUGUUAAUGGCCGGGGGAGGAAUUUUUAGAGAAUAAAAAACUCCCAAAGUUCGGAGUCUGUGGUGAAGUACUCCGUAAAUUGCUAACGUCCCAGUUCCACUGCCCCUCUAAAGGAUGACUUGGUGUUCGUUUGAGCCUACAUUUUUGAGGUUUCAUCAAGUUCAUGGCUGUUAUGCGCUCCAUAAUGUCCUCAAGCGCCAGGGAAGUUAUUUCGUCGCAUAAUCUUGAGCAUAUAUUAGUUUAGUUCACAUUCAUAUGACUCGUUCGUCUUCAGGUCAUUUUGUAGUAUGAUAUCAUUAUACUCGUUCAAUGUUUGGUUAUUAUAUAUUCUCGUAACUCAUCCUUUCAUCCUAGAUAGUUUAAUGUUUUGCCAUGAAUUGGAAGAGUUUGUUGUUAACUAAUGUGUCUUUGUACGACAGAUCAUUGUUCUGUUUGCUUAAGUUUGUCUCAAGCUUUCUUGAUUUGAAAUGAUCUAAUACCUAUCUAUUCAACAAGGUAUUAGUUUAGCAUGAAAUUGCUUUAGGUAGUGUCUCUGUUUGUCCCGUCUUUCAUCCUCGAGUUGAUAGUACUUGUUUGGUUUAAUUAUGGUUUUAUUUUCGGGUCUCCUAUCACGUUUAUGUACCGGUUUUUGUGUCCGCUGUUACGAGAAGCAGGCUUUUUCCUCUGUCUGCUCUCCGUUAAUCAUGUCAUUAAUAUAUGCUUGGUCUUGUGAUAGUUUUGGUCUGAGUAUAAAGGGGUUCAUAAAUGAAAAUUUUUACCCUUUUUUUUUGCUAUCUAGAAAAGGAUUUCAAAUAGCUGCAUUUGAGAUAAAUGUUCAAUAAGAAUAUCUAGUUGAUUGCUCACUGUUAUCUUAAUUAAAUAUCUUCAUUCGGAAUUCUUAUUUUUGCUCUUAAGGAAAAUGUCCAUCAUGCUUUUGAUUUUUAGAAGUUAUUGUAUGUUUGGAGUCAACUUUGCCAUAACUUCUGUGUUAUCCAUACAUACAUAUGUGCCUUAUUCAGGAACCUCUUUGCUUUGGUUUUGCAAGUGUUUGAAUAAUUCUUAGCUUAUCAUUAUAUAUUUUCUCUCGUUAAUUCGUUUAUUUUGUUCCAUGUCAUUUUUCUCUAGCUAAUGUUUUGCCUUUCUUUUAUGGCAUUGACGAGUCCCUCGGGAAUCCUCGUUUCCUCUUGCAUCCUUUAAUUGAGCUGUGAAAGUUCAAAUUUUCCCGUCGAUUCAGCCAUCUUGGCAACUUUAGGAUAUAGCUGGAUAGGUUGAAGACAACAAUAUAUUGCUGUGAAUCAAUUUUCCAGCCCCACAAAAAGCCUAAAACACGUUGAUAUACCAGCUAUAUACACUGGCAUACAGCUGGAAUAUACCAAAAACAGGUGCAAAUGUGGAAAUGCAGACCAGAAAAUACAGCAUACAAAAUUAGAUAUAAUACCGGUUUCAGAAGGUUCAAAAUAUACUGGAUACGCGUCAUAUACAGCGGUAUACAUUAAGUCUACACCAUAUUUUUAAAAAGAAAUGGGGCCGAAGCCCAUUUGAGUUCCCUGCGGAAUUUUGUGAGAAAUGGGCCAAGCCCCAAAAGAUAAAAGCAAAAAAAAUGAAGGAAAACAUGGGCCAAAGUCCAAGUUUAACUACUUUCUCUCUAUAUAUUUUUGCUAUAUUGAUUGACUUACGUUAUUGAAUUUCGGUUUUAAUUUAAUUAAUUCCCAGUGAUAGCUAUUUUUAUUUA